GUAGUCUCGCACAGAUGCAUAUCAAUAAGCGGAGGAAAAGAAACUAACAAGGAUUCCCCUAGUAACGGCGAGUGAAGCGGGAAGAGCUCAAAUUUGAAAUCUUAAAGGGUUUCCCUUUACGAAUUGUAGUUUAAAGAAGUGUUUUCUGUUGAGGUUUUGGUAAAAGUUCUUUGGAAUAGGACAUCAUAGAGGGUGAGAAUCCCGUAUUUGACCUUUACUUUCAACUUUGUGAUACACUUUCAAAGAGUCGGAUUGUUUGGGAAUGCAGUCCAAAAUGGGUGGUAAAUUUCAUCUAAAGCUAAAUAUUGGCGAGAGACCGAUAGCGAACAAGUACCGUGAGGGAAAGAUGAAAAGAACUUUGAAAAGAGAGUUAAACAGUACGUGAAAUUGUCAAAAGGGAAGCGUUUGACACCAGUGUUGUUUUUCUGAAAAUCAAUUAAAGAACUGUUUAUGCUAAGUUGUUUAGACUUUAUCAGCUAUCUGCUUAGUUUUGAGCUUUUCUUUAAUGCACUUUUCAGUUAACAAGUCAACAUCAAUUUCUUUUGCUGUAAAAAAGCUUGAGGAAGGUGGCUUGAGAUUCGUCUUAAGUGUUUAUAGCCUCUUGCCUAUGCAGUCGGAGAGAUUGAGGUCUGCAGCGUAGAUCCUUCGGGGCUAAAUGCAUUUGUGCUAAGUUAUAGCAUUUCAUAGACAACUUGUUGACUAUGAUUUGUCUUGUAGCUUACUCGCUUAUGUUAUUUUACCUACGCUUAGGAUGUUGACGCAUGAGAUAUACGC
rnacentral:rRNA from 1 species